rnacentral:lncRNA from 1 species
UGGCUAAUUUUUUGUAUUUUUAGUAGAGACGGGGUUUCACUGUGUUAGCCAGGGUGGUCUCGAUCUCCUGACCUCGUGAUCUGCCCACCUUGGCCUCCCAAAGGCUUCAUAAACUUCUUCUUUUUUUUUUUUUUGAGGCAGGUCUUCUGUGGCCCAGACUGAAGAAUAAAAAUACAAUAUCAGUGGUGGUCCAAAGUAACAUCACUGCCCAAGCUAAGGCCACCCUUGAGCCUGCUAAGAGUAGUAAUUAAAGGCUCUGUUGGUUCUUCUUGGGGAGCCUUCCUGUUCAUACCAUUAAGCCCUUUAUACCAAGAGAAGCCACAGAGCACUGGAAAGCUGGGGAUCCACAUGCACAUGUUUUGGGUGGAGGGGUUGCUUUCUGAGGUUGUAAUUGUGGUUUUCUUGGGCGUGUUUUUUAGACAUGAGGUUUGUUUUGAAUUCACAAUGUUGCCGCAUUCAGAGUAUAAUUCUUACAUAUUGAGAAAGCAUGUGAAGUUCAGGAGUGCUGUCUCCAGGACACAGGGUUAAUGAAUUUCGGAGGUUAUUUUUGGGCCAGAACCUUAAAGUAAAUCCAGCUGAGAGUUUCUUCUGCCCAAGAAUUGAAGCCUGGGAGAGGAAGUAUUUUCACACUGCCGGGGGCCAAUUAGGGUGUACGGAGCUCCCAGAGUUCAUUCCUGUGGCUACUCAAGUGUCUCUUCCCUUCAUCACCAGGGACUAUUCCACUCUAGAAGUUACAUGUCAGAGGGAGAGCAUGGACCUCAAGCAUGUUAAGGUGUUUAACCUCUUGAAUGUGGGUUUUCCUUGUGAAUUGUGGGGAAGCAGCCUGCUUAUCUGA